ACAAGCCAAAAAAAAUGUUAAACAAGCAUGAAAAUAAUUAGAACACCAACUCAACACUAUCUGGAAAGUUAGGUACUUAAGAAUACAAAUACAAGCAAGGGUUACACAAGUUAUUAUAUCCUUCAGAAAACUCGUGCUACUGCUUAUCAUUAUUUGUUGCAGAUAUUCCAAGACGAGAUCAUUGCCUUUCCCUUGAAUGUCAAUACAUGAAAGCUUCCGCUAUUUCUUAGGAAUCAAGCCUCCUUCUGAAGGGUUCCCAAGUCUCCCCAUGACAACUGUUUUGCAUAAAAACAAAUUGUAAAAUAUAUUAAUACAUAAUUACAUGUACAUGUGAAUGUGUGAGGUGUGCGGGUUUUUUUUGCGCGCGCGUGGGGGUGGGGAGGGGGGAGAAACACAUUAGAGAUUAUAUUGUUCACACCAUAGAAUUGUGGUAAUUGAUACCCUACUUGGGUAAAAACUGAACCAUCUCCACUAAAAUUAUCUUUCUUUCUCCUCUCUUUGGUGUUAUGUUCCCUUAAUUCUAGGAAACAGCCUCAGCAUUUCAGUUGGGACUUAGACAACGAGGUAUGAUACUUUUAAGUUCAGUGUACUAUAUGACAUUGAAAUGACUAGCUUCUACAUUUAAGUACCAAAAACUUCACCAUGUAAUGCUCUUUACAUAUUACUUGUAUAUAGCUUAAUCAACUAGCACCUGCCUGUUGAAGUAACAAAUAGUCGCACACUUGAGGCGAUGGAGAACAGAAAAAGAAAAUUAAAAGGUUAAUUAUUAAUUUUUUUUGUAUUAUUGUUCAGAGAUAAAUAUUUGAUUUAUGGAAUUAUAUUUAGUAAAGAUAAAGUAUAAUAUACUAGAAUAUGAAUUAAGGUAGUAGAUAAUUGAUAGGUUAACUUUCCUAAUUUUAAAUUAGGGUUUUAUUUGUCCAUUAAGUCUUAGAUAUCUAUAUAAAAAUCCACAUUAUUAUUCAGAUUAUUAAAUAUAAACUUAUUUGAAAUAGAUUUACUCUUUGUGUGUGUUUCUCUACCGAUUCGCUGUGGGGAUAGAUACUCCAAGCAACCCCAAAACAACCAACUUCUUCUUAACUCUCCCAAUUAGGGCCCCACUUGCCUAACCACUCUAUCCCAAAUAAGAGAACACCAUCUUCCAGCCGCUGCGAAGGGUAAAAGAAAAGGAAAUAAGAACGGCUACAAUAGCGCAGUACUAUUCACAGUACAUUACCCAGAAAAUAAAAUCAUCCACACCACAAACAGCCUCUAUCCUUGCCUAUUCCAAACAGCACCCUAUAUUUUACACAAACGCAGCCUUAAAUCUAACCCUGUUCAUCAUCCCAAAAACAAAACCCCAACCAGAAAAAAAAAAUAGCCAAACAAUAUUACCAAACCACAACCCUAGCUGCCAAUGCUAAACCCAUUUUGUCCCUGCUUCAGCAAACAGCAGCAGCCCUUGUCGGAAACAAACAGCCGCUACCUCCAGCCAGCCACCAACCCCACCUCCAUUGUGUCAUUGUCUCGGUGAACCAGCCACACAUCUCACUGGAAAAAAAAAGAAGAAAAACACAGAGGAAGAGAAAAAUAAUAACCUCACUGCCAGAUGCCGUUGCUGCCUUUAGCACUUGCUGCCAUUGCUCUGCUUGUCUCCGUUGUUGAUCCUUUCAUUUCAUCAUCACCAGCUUCCUCCCGAUUGCCUUUUGCAGCUUGCCUGAGUAUGUUCUUAGCUUGAGUCUAUUAACAGGGCUUUUGUUUAACUUAGACAAAUUAUUUUUUGAUUCCCAUAUGUUUUCAUUUUUCAAGUAUUUCUCCUUUAAGUUUUAAAGUUUACAUUUAGGUCCCUGAACUUUUUUGUUUAUAUUUUUUUGGGAACAAUCAUCCCUGAGUUUUCAUUUUGGCACUCAGACCCGGAGUUUCUGUCAUUUCAAUUAAGCCCCGACUUUGUUAUUCUGUUUUCUUUUUAUGGUUAGGUCCC
rnacentral:lncRNA from 1 species